GACGAACGCUGGCGGCGCGCCUAACACAUGCAAGUCGAACGGUGAACCGGGCUUCGGCCCGGGGAUCAGUGGCGAACGGGUGCGUAACACGUGGGCAACCUGCCCCCGACCCUGGGAUAACCCCGGGAAACCGGAGCUAAUACCGGAUACUCUCCUCCGACCGCUUGGUCGAGGGAGGAAAGGUCCGCCGGUCGGGGAUGGGCCCGCGGCCUAUCAGCUUGUUGGUGGGGUAACGGCCUACCAAGGCGACGACGGGUAGCUGGUCUGAGAGGACGACCAGCCACACUGGGACUGAGACACGGCCCAGACUCCUACGGGAGGCAGCAGUGGGGAAUCUUGCGCAAUGGGCGAAAGCCUGACGCAGCGACGCCGCGUGGGGGACGAAGGCCUUUCAGGUCGUAAACCCCUUUCGGCAGGGACGAAGCGAUCUCGUGACGGUACCUGCAGAAGAAGCCUCGGCUAACUACGUGCCAGCAGCCGCCGUAAGAC
rnacentral:rRNA from 1 species